UGGGGAAUAUUGCACAAUGGGCGCAAGCCUGAUGCAGCCAUGCCGCGUGUAUGAAGAAGGCCUUCGGGUUGUAAAGUACUUUCAGCGAGGAGGAAGGCGGUAAGGUUAACAACCUUAUCGAUUGACGUUACUCGCAGAAGAAGCACCGGCUAACUCCGUGCCAGCAGCCGCGGUAAUACGGAGGGUGCAAGCGUUAAUCGGAAUUACUGGGCGUAAAGCGCACGCAGGCGGUCUGUCAAGUCGGAUGUGAAAUCCCCGGGCUCAACCUGGGAACUGCAUUCGAAACUGGCAGGCUAGAGUCUUGUAGAGGGGGGUAGAAUUCCAGGUGUAGCGGUGAAAUGCGUAGAGAUCUGGAGGAAUACCGGUGGCGAAGGCGGCCCCCUGGACAAAGACUGACGCUCAGGUGCGAAAGCGUGGGGAGCAAACA
rnacentral:rRNA from 1 species